AUCUUACCAAGGAGGAUCUUGGUCGUUCUUCUGGGAAUGGCGAUUCAAAUGGAACCAAGACAGUACCAAAACAAGUAAAUGGGGAUUCUAAGAUAGAACCUCAGUUACAGCUCACUGUGAGUACCUAUGGCACAGAAGCUGCU